AAAGAUAUGAAGGUAACCAGUGGAUAUCGUGGGAGACACGACAGCCCCGGAUAAUAAACUGGUGUGUCCGGCUGACCCUCUACAACCACGGAGAGGAGUGGAGCACGCAGAGGGAGGCAAUUAGCAGGCUGGACCAU
rnacentral:lncRNA from 1 species